CUCUGUUCUCCUGAAGGUCUGUCUAUGGGGAAGAAGGUGGAUGAGAAGCCAUGGCUGCCUCUGUCAUCACGCCAGGGUACAGGCGAUGAGGCGGGCAAAAGGGGCAGAGGAGGUGAGGUGGUGAUUCUGUUCACACCAUUCUCAGGUUGGAGAUCGGGACUCCAACUCCAUACCUGAUGCUUUCACUCAUUGGCUGGCGCUGUACCAACUGAGCCACAUCUCCAACCCCUAUUCUCCUAUUGAAAAUGUCGUUAAUUCACUCCGAUUUCAAGAUGAUAGCUCAUUUUUUUAAUUAAAAUAUCCCUUUAAAAAUG